UAAUUUUAUAAGGUUAGGUAGGCUAUUUUAUUUCUUACUCUUGUAUGUGCAAAUAAACAUAGUCAAUGAUUAGUCAAUAAUAUGUAAAUGACAUUAGAGUGAGACCAAGAUAAGUAUGCAGCUAUUUUUAUAGCACAAACGUGCAAGUGUAUUUUAAAUUCCAAAUUUCUAUGAAAUUAUGUAUUUAAAUAACAUUUGCGCGUCUGUGCUAUAAAAAUCGCUUAAUAUCUUGGUCUGACUAACUCUUUUCGAAUGUAGACAAUAAGGGAGGAGGAGGAAGCUUCUGCCCAUUUGCCGCCUGUUUGUGCAUAUGUUUGAAGUGCCAUACGUGGGAAAUAUAACCCUUAACCCUUAGCCUGGAUGUGAAGUGUGAUGCACACUUAACGUUAGGUUCGUUCAUUCCAUUCACGUCGGUCAAUUCUAUGGAUUCGAAAGACGUAAGCCAAAACGAAAGAGUUUCCCGGUAGGCUUCAGUUGGUUCGUUCGAACUAAUUUACGUGCGGAUGGCGCUCUAUCGUUCGAUUUUCACGGUAGGGCCC